UGAAGAUCAAGCACCUCCCAAAUACAACACACCAGAUCCCAAUACCAACACAGCUACAGAACCACAAACACCAGAAUUAACAGAAGCUUAUAUUGCGUGGCGCAAGUCCGAUAGGCUUCUUCAAGGGUGGAUCAUUCGGACACUCUUAGAAGAAGCCCUUGAACUUGUUAUAGGUCUCGAUACAGCAUACUCAGUCUGGGAAGCACUCAAGAAUGAGUAUGCACAGGACUCUCAAGAAAGAGAAUUCACACUCCGGCAGCAGGUCACUUAUCUUCGUAAGGAAGAAGAUAAAACCCUUGGGGAGCACAUCCGCACCUUCAAAAGCUUAUGCGAUAGCCUUGCAGCCAUUGGGAAACCAGUCUCAGACAAGGAGAAAGUAUUUUAUCUUCUCAUAAGCCUUGGACCUCAAUAUGAGCCCUUCACCACAACUAUGUUAAAACCACCAAGACCUACAUAUUUGGAGCUCGUGUCACAAUUACAAAGCUUUGAUCAAAGGCGUAACUGGUUCUCAGGCCAUAGUAAUGUCACUGCUCCACAAAUCACUCCACAAUUAACCUUCUAUGGUCAACAACAGCAGUCUCAGCAACUUUCCAGAAAUCAUGGGUCACAAUCUUUUACCUCUACAGGAAGAGGUUUUCAGGCACAACAAUCUAGAGACUCCAACAAAAAUCAUUCAGACAACUCUACUCUUAACACUAGACAACGACGUCCUCCACCCUCAGGCGAACGCCGCAUGACCCCAGCAGAAAGAAAUUAUGUACAGAGAAGAAUGUUGCCAAUAUUGUGGCACUCAAGGACACAUAGCAAAGAUCUGCUGGUGGUUGCCAAAGAAGACUACUCAACAAGACAUUCCUCAAGCACUUGCUGCACUCACACUAGACAACACCAUUACAGAUACUGAAUGGACGUCUGACACUGGUGCAUCAAACCAUAUGACAGGUAAGUCAGCCAUGCUAACUAAUCUACGCAGAUACCACGGCUCAGAUUCAGUUCUUAUAGAGGAUGGAUCAUCCUUGAAAAUUCUUGGCAUAGGCGACACAUGUAUAAAGCAAAAAAAAAAUGCUACUCUUUCUCUUAAUAACGUUUUGCUUGUUCCUGAUCUUACUAAGAAUUUACUCUCUGUUAGCCAGUUAACUAAACAGUUUUCAGUAAAUUGUGAAUUUUCUAAUGAUGAUUUUUGUGUUAAGGAUCAAGCAACAGGGCAACCAGUGACAACAGGGAGUCACAAGGGUGAUCUCUAUGUCCUCUCCAGUUUGCCGAAAUUACAUUUUUCUUACAGACAAAAAUUCGGCACAGCAGACUUAUGGCAUCAACGUUUAGGACAUCCUCAUGCUUCCGCUCUA
rnacentral:lncRNA from 1 species